UCCAUUUCUUAUUUUUGAAUGAGAGAUGAGCUUUCAGAAGAGAUUUAUCCAAAUUUGGUAUUUUUGAGGGCAAAGUCUUUUAGCACAGAAAUUGUCUCUAUAAAGCCCCAGCACUGGAGACAUGUACUUAUUGCAGAAGAGAGGCCAUAGGGCUUUCGCUUGGAGCCUGUUGAACACAUGGUUCUUAUAAAACAUCAUUAUCUGGUGUCUCCAGCCCACAGCAGAUCCCAAGCAGCCAUCUAGAACAAAGGACAGGACUGUUAACAGGUAGGUGCAGUGGUUCUGGUAAGAAGUAGCCAGUUAGGGAGGAAAUGUCAGAUUUCAUCUGCCGCUGGAGGGUUGUACUUCUCAUUCCUUCCUAAGGCUUUAAGUUUAAGCAGGACAUUUGAUUUUUAAGUUGAUCUCUUUAUUUAAAAAUUUUGUUUAUGAACGUUGUUUUAGCACUCUGUGCAGUUGAUAGGGAGGAGGAAGUUCAGUGUUAAAAGGACUGUUGUGGUAGAACCAAGUGGUACUGCAUAGAAGAUACUCUGUACCUCCCCCUUGACUCGUGGUCAUCGUUGAACGCUUCCUACUUGGAAAAAAGUUUUAUCUUUUUCAAACUACAGUGUUGUACUUUAUUGAUUAAAAGUGUUUAAAAAGAAAUUACGAAAUAUGACUAUAAAACAGGGAUUGAUUUAUAACAGACAGCAGACUUUAGAGCCAGGAUAGAAGUAAGAAAUGACUUCAGAAAGUUCAGAGUCUAGAAAAGAUGAAAGACUGAACUGAGGGGAGGGAGAUUGGUACUAGCACAGAGUGCUGUGGGAGCUCGAGGGAGAGGGUUCUGACUUGGGCAGUGGGGAGAAAAUCUGGGAAGGCUUCCUGGAGGAAAAAGAAAGUAUUGGAGCUGAGCCCAGAAGGAUAAGUAGGCAGGGAAGGGAGGGAAGGCACCUAUGCCAAAUGAAUAGCCGGGCGAAGGCCUCAAGUUUCUACCAGACACUUAUUGAAGUGUGUGAAUUUUUUUCUUUUUUUUCCCUGCCUGUUUUUUUCCAUUUUUUCAUUUUUUUCUUUGUUGUAUGUGAUGCUUUUGGAACUCUGCUUUUUUGAGUGGCCUUACUCAUUUUAUUAGCCGUGAAACAAAGGAAUCUUAGCAGUGUGUAAUUGGUUGUUGGUUUUUGACCAAAAAUUGAACUUCAUGCCUUUGCUUAACUUACCAGCUUAUUUAUUGGAUAUAGCCAAGAAUGAGUUGUGGCUGUUU